GAAUUCCUUACAGCAAUGAAAUGAUGAUCUGGAGAGACCCACUCAUUAGAGAAACAUGGGUCUUUCCGGGAAAAAUUGGAUUCUG
rfam:Dictyostelium purpureum unplaced genomic scaffold DICPTscaffold_95, whole genome shotgun sequence.